rnacentral:rRNA from 1 species
GACGAACGCUGGCGGCGUGCUUAACACAUGCAAGUCGAACGGAAAGGCCCUGCUUUUGUGGGGUGCUCGAUUGGCGAACGGGUGAGUAACACGUGAGUAACCUGCCCUUGACUUUGGGAUAACUUCAGGAAACUGGGGCUAAUACCCGAUAGGAGCUCCUGCUGCAUGUUGGGGGUUGGAAAGUUUCGGCGGUUGGGGAUGGACUCGCGGCUUAUCAGCUUGUUGGUGGGGUAGUGGCUUACCAAGGCUUUGACGGGUAGCCGGCCUGAGAGGGUGACCGGCGACAUUGGGACUGAGAUACGGCCCAGAGUACUACGGGAGGCAGCAGUGGGGAAUAUUGCACAAUGGGCGGAAGCCUGAUGCAGCAACGCCGCGUGCGGGAUGACGGCCUUCGGGUUGUAAACAGCUUUAGACUGUGACGAAGCGUGAGUGACGGUAAUGGGUAAAGAAGCACCGGCUAACUACGUG